rnacentral:misc_RNA from 1 species
AUGAGUUGUAAUAGGGCUUGAUGCUGGCAGCUUGUAUUUGCAUGUGCUCACCCUAAUAACAAUUAUCUUCCAAACACCUGUGCACCUUUUUUUUUGAAGGGGAAUGCUGAGUUGAUUUGCCGCUUUUUUGUGGUGUUAUCAUUGAUGGCAUUGCCUUGAUUUAUUAUUAUACACAAUUUAUGAUGCUGGAUGUGUCUGCAAGGCAAAAAUAAAAGCCUUAAUACAUA